CUGCAUGUACACCAAAUGUCUGAACCUGCGGUUCCUCUCGUACUGAGCAGGAUUACUAUUGCAACAACACAUCAUCAAUAGGGUAAAACUAACCUGUCUCACGACGGUCUAAACCCACACACACACACACACACACACACACACACACACACACAC